GGGUCCAUAGCUCAGUGGUAGAGCAUUUGACUGCAGAUCAAGAGGUCAUCGGUUUGAACUCGAUUGGGCCCU
rnacentral:tRNA from 1 species